ACCAAGUUUAUCUGCAGGGGAGUGGAGAAUGGAAAAUCUCCCAACAGGAAAACACAAAAACCAGGGGCUACUGCUCACAUUUAAAAACCCAGAGGGACUCAGAGAAAAGGGACGCUUAGGCAGGAGAGGAACAGAAGAGCAUGCUUUCAUAGCAGAGGAGGUCUUCUUCGACUAUGGGACCAAGCCAAAGGAAGCUGGUUAGAAGAGUGGGAGACUCCAUGUUCCAGAGGAGGAGCCAUAAUGAGAGAGGUGCAGGAGAGAGGGACUUGGGAUCCUGAAAGGACAUUGCUCCAAAUCCUGAAGAACACUCCAGAAUGCAUAAGGGCAUUGCAUGGAAGAAGCUAUGGAGAUGAAAGGGAGAAGGAUACCCAAAGGGAUCACAGGAGGACCACGCAGCCAGCAGGAGCAAGACGAUGAGAACAGGCAGUAGCAGCAGUAAGAAAUAAAAGCUGACACAGAAGAAGAAAUUCACCCUGAGUUGAAGGACAAAACAAGGUCCACGCAUAAUUUAAGCAGAAUUAGAAUGGGUCAAGAUCUGGCCCAUAACUUCUUAUUUAUACUCUGACAAAAUAAAUGGAUCCAUCAAACUGCCAUGCUCUUACUGGAAAGAGAAUUUAACGUGGACAAGUUCGCCCUCCUCUUCAUUCCACUGAUGCCGAUAUGGUCCCUUUCUGGAAGAUUAAAUGUGUUAUUAUCUUGCCUUGUUUCUAUAUCAGCAGCAUCAUUUACCAACAUUCCUUACAUUUUUUUUCCACUUCUCCCUUUUCAUUUACUGAGCUGUUGUGUAACCCAUAUGCUUUUAUAUCCCAACCUUUAAUUAGUUUAAGUCCAACGAACGGGAAAGUAGCAAUGGAGAGGGAGGAAGGGCUUUGUUAAAAUCACCUGUUUCUGUAUCUGGGUAGGGCAGGCAAACCAGAAAAAUCUAAAGAGAAGUGUUAUAGGUACUAAGCAUGCUUGACAGCUUUUGUGAAGCCAACAUAGG